AUGACGGACCUUGCCCAUGAACACUUUACACACAUCUUCGGUACCAAUAAACACAUAUCGGUUGCACUGAAUUGGGAUGAAUUAAGUGUCGAGCAAGUGGAUAUCAAAGAGCUAGAGCAGGAAUUAACGCUUGAAGAAAUCAAGAGGGCGGUGGAUGCGAUCCCGGCCGACAAGGCACCAGGGCCCGAUGGAUACUCGGGUAGCUUCUUCAAAGCUUGUUGGGACACGAUUAAGGGGGACCUGCUUGCGGCCCUACAGCAGCUAUUCCGAGUGGAUAGCCGAGGUCUGGAUCGAGUCAAUCACGCACUCCUCGUGCUCAUUCCCAAGAAGCUACGUGCAGAUACCCUACAGGAUUUCAUACCGAUAUCAUUAUUACACAGUGUUAUGAAAAUCUUCUCCAAAAUCCUUGCUCUACGGCUCGCUCCAAAGCUCAACGCUCUGGUGGAUCAAUGUCAGAGUGCGUUCAUUAGUAAACGCAACAUACAGGAGAACUUUCUACACGUUCAGAACACUGCAAGACCAUUCCAUAAGACCAAAAAACCUGCUGUUCUUCUUAAGCUAGACCUGGCAAAAGCUUUUGACUCAAUUUCUUGGGCCUAUCUUCUGGACAUGCUCGAGGCAAGAGGCUGUGGCCAAAGGUGGAGGGAAUGGAUUGCCAUGCUUUUACACACCUCCGCGUCGAGGGUUAUGAUCAAUGGGUAGCAAUCAGAGGUCAUCCACCACCAGAGUGGACUACGACAAGGGGACCCCAUCUCCCCGUUUCUGUUCAUACUCGCAAUGGACCCACAGAAAAGAAUGAUGUCCAUGGCCACAGACCAGGGUUUGUUAUCUAAGGUUCCGAGACGUAGAAGGGUACCACGUUGCUCCUUCUACGCGGACGAUGUGGCGCUCUUCAUGAAUCCUUCGAGGGUGGACGCCAGCAUGAUCCGCUUGUUGCUGGACUGCUUCGCAUCGGCCACGGGCCUCGUUACCAACAUGGACAAGAGUUCUGCCCUGCCUAUUCACUGCGGCAUGCUAGACCUUCCACAAAUUCUUUUGCCGCUAGGGAUCCCGAUCAAAUCAUUCCUGACGACAUAUCUUGGCAUGCCCCUCUCACUUCGGAACCUGACCAAAUUGGAUCUAGACCCCUUCCUCAUAAAAUUUGGAAAUAAAGCUAUUACUUGGAAGGGCAAAUUAAUGUCAAAAAGCGGCAGACUGGUGUUGCUAAAGACGGGGCUGACCUCCCUGGCAAUAUAUAUGAUGAUCGUGCACAAAUUACCAGCCUGGCUGCUAAGGCGCAUGUUGAUGAUUUGUCGUUCUUUGCUUUGGAAUGGGGACAACACAUGCAAUGGUGGGAAUUGCAGGGUGGCCUGGAGUUUGAUCUGCCGCCCAAAACACCUGGGCGGCCUGGGCGUACUUGACUUGGCCAAAUUUGGUCGGGCCCUUAGGCUUCGUUGGCUCUGGUUGGCAUGGCAACGCCCGCAGCGGUCGUGGGUUAGCUCCCCUCUACCCUGCUACAAUGAGGAAAGGCAGCUCUUUGCGAUGGCAACAAAAAUAUCAAUUGGAGAUGGCCGAACGGCAAACUUCUGGAAUGAUUGCUGGAUGAAUGGAUCAUGCCCGAAGACGAUUGCCCCGUCGCUAUUCCGGAUCUCGACGAGGAAGAACCACUCGGUCUGCGAUGCACUGAGGAACGAGAGGUGA
rnacentral:rRNA from 1 species